UGGGGAAUAUUGCACAAUGGGCGCAAGCCUGAUGCAGCCAUGCCGCGUGUGUGAAGAAGGCCUUCGGGUUGUAAAGCACUUUCAGCGAGGAGGAAGGUGGUGAGCUUAAUACGCUCAUCAAUUGACGUUACUCGCAGAAGAAGCACCGGCUAACUCCGUGCCAGCAGCCGCGGUAAUACGGAGGGUGCAAGCGUUAAUCGGAAUUACUGGGCGUAAAGCGCACGCAGGCGGUUUGUUAAGUCAGAUGUGAAAUCCCCGGGCUCAACCUGGGAACUGCAUUUGAAACUGGCAAGCUAGAGUCUCGUAGAGGGGGGUAGAAUUCCAGGUGUAGCGGUGAAAUGCGUAGAGAUCUGGAGGAAUACCGGUGGCGAAGGCGGCCCCCUGGACGAAGACUGACGCUCAGGUGCGAAAGCGUGGGGCAGCAAACAGGAUUAGAUACCCUGGUAGUCCAGCGCUGUAAACGAUGUCGAUUUUGGAGGUUGUGCCCUUGAGGCGUGGCUUCCGGAGCUAACGCGUUAAAGUCGACCGCCU
rnacentral:rRNA from 1 species